AACAUGGGGCGAGAGGAGCAUCGCUGCAAAAAGAGCAUGGAUGCUGCCAUCCUCGAGGACCGGGCCUUCAUCCAGAACGAGGCCAAGGAGAAAAUGGGAGGAGUAAACAGGUGGCGUUCCUGUGUCACAGACAUCGAGUCCCACGAGUGACUCUGGUUUCGGCUGGAUGUGUUUGUGUCGAAUCAAGAGCAGGUGAUGGAGCGGCCACUGCUCAAUCUCAUGAUGAAGUACGCCUACACCACGACUUGGCUGCGGGACGCUCCUGCCAUGCUAUAAGUUGGUACAUGGAAGAUGGGGAAGAUCUCCAAGAAUUGGCUGCAAUGUCUUCAAAUUCCAGUGCCCUGGAUUGAGUUGGCCAUUGCGUACUAUUCUGCUGUCAAAAGGAUCAUCCUAUAGAGGCGAGAACUGGCUGGUUCAUAAAUUUUGUGAUUUACAACUGUUUUACAGUUUUGGAGCCAAUUGAAAUAUCCAGUGUUUUUAAUGAGAGCUGAUGCAUCCCCAAACGGAGAUUGUAAGGUGUUGCUGUUUUCCUGGAUGGAAACUCUUCCGUCGUAGCAUCCAGUUGGGACUUGCUAUGGCAAGAGUGUCAGCGCAGGAGACAACACCAGGACAAAAAUGAAGCUCUUGGCAGACAUGAGGCUUGGAAGGGACAACUUUUACACUUUACUUCCAUCAGUCGAGAAGAACCGAUCCAUCACAGUCCUGAAGAACAGCAAAGUUAGAAGACAAGAAUUUAAAUCUUGCAAAGCUACUCCUGUCGAUGAAACAGUCGUGGAAGUGCAAGCGAAGAACUCCUGCUGGUAUCGUCCUGUCCCAAUCGGUGUGCUUGCUCAGAGUGUCCCUGAUGAUUCUCUUGGCUUGAGGACAGGAUCUCGAGUAACUGUGGUAGCCAUUCUUGUAUCCUCCACUCUCAUCAUGAUCCAAAACACUAGCUCAGAGACAGCAGAAGCAAAACCAAAAUGUUCCCUCUCCAACUUCCCAUCCUCAGGUAUUGCAGCUUGGCAUGUCUUCUUCCUCCUCGAAUUUUCUUGGCAGUAAUCGAUGAUCUGAAGAUGAGAGUCGUUCCGUGAUGAAGUGGGUCACUGAUACAAGGCUCUUAUAGUCCAGGUUAAGCCGUCACAAACCGUGUCUGCUGCCUCUAAUGAGUGUUUCCAUGCUUAAGAAAUCCUUUGACAUCA